rnacentral:rRNA from 1 species
UGGGGAAUAUUGGACAAUGGGCGCAAGCCUGAUCCAGCCAUGCCGCGUGUGUGAAGAAGGCCUUCGGGUUGUAAAGCACUUUUGUUCGGGAAGAAAUCUUCCGACCUAAUACGUCGGGAGGCUGCCGGUACCGAAAGCAUAAGCCCCGGCUAACUCUGUGCCAGCAGCCGCGGUAAGACAGAGGGGGCAAGCGUUGUCCGGACUGACUGGGCGUAAAGCGCGCGCAGGCGGUCUCGGGCGUCGGUGCUGAAAGUCCACCGCUUAACGGUGGGAUGCGUGCCGAUACGCCGAGACUGGAGGGUGGGCGAGGGUGGUGGAAUUGCCGGUGUAGUGGUGAAAUGCGUAGAGAUCGGCAGGAACACCCGUGGUGAAAACGGCCACCUAGCCCGCACCUGACGCUGAGGCGCGACAGCGUGGGGAGCGAA